GGACUACCCGGGUAUCUAAUCCCGUUUGCUCCCCUGGCUUUCGCGCCUCAGCGUCAGAAAGGGUCCAGCAGAUCGCUUUCGCCACCGGCGUUCCUUCCGAUAUCUACGCAUUUCACCGCUCCACCGGAAGUUCCAUCUGCCCCUACCCUCCUCCAGCCGGCCAGUAUCAGGGGCACGUUUCCGGUUGAGCCGAAAGAUUUCACCCCUGACUGGGCCAGCCGCCUACGCGCCCUUUAAGCCCAGUGAAUCCGAACAACGUUCGCACGGUUCGUCUUACCGCGGCUGCUGGCAC
rnacentral:rRNA from 1 species